CACGUAGGGGGCGAGCGUUUGUCCGGAUUUAUUGGGCGUAAAGAGCUCGUAGGCGGCUCGGUAAGUCAGGUGUGAAAACUCUAGGCUCAACCUAGAGACGCCACCUGAUACUGCUGUGGCUAGAGUCCGGUAGGGGAGCAUGGAAUUCCUGGUGUAGCGGUGAAAUGCGCAGAUAUCAGGAGGAACACCAGUGGCGGAAGGCGGUGCUCUGGGCCGGAACUGACGCUGAGGAGCGAAAGCGUGGGGAGCAAACAGG
rnacentral:rRNA from 1 species